UACGUAGGGUGCAAGCGUUUGUCCGGAAUUAUUGGGCGUAAAGAGCUCGUAGGCGGUUUGUCGCGUCUGCUGUGAAAACCUAAGGCUCAACCUUGGGCUUGCAGUGGGUACGGGCAGACUAGAGUGCGGUAGGGGUGACUGGAAUUCCUGGUGUAGCAGUGAAAUGCGUAGAUAUCAGGAGGAAUACCGAUGGCGAAGGCAGGUCUCUGGGCUGACACUGACGCUCAUGCACGAAAGCGUGGGGAGCAAACAGG
rnacentral:rRNA from 1 species